GGAAGUUUAGCUCAGCUGGUUCAGAGCAUCUGCCUUACAAGCAGAGGGUCGGGGGUUCGAAUCCCUCAACUUCCA
rfam:Algoriphagus sp. M8-2, complete genome.